ACUGACUUGACAAGAGAAAAAAAUAAUAAAUAAUAAAUCGAAAAUAUCUUCCGCUGAAGGAGCUGCAAAUCAUCCAAGCAAUCACAGUUGUCCAGUGAAAAAAAGAUUAGUACCAGGUUUUGGAGAACCAUAAAAAGAGUGUCGCCUUCCUGUUUUACUCUCGAAAAGUAAGCAUCAAUCAGCUAAAAUCAUUAAUUAUGGACGCUCAGCAACAACUACAUGAUCGUAUCAAACAUUUUAUAUUGAGAAAAAUUGUUGAAAUCGCAUUCAAUCUUUGCGGUGUUGGGAGAGUGCCUUCAGAAUUGGAUGGAGACGACUCAAAUACAGAUAUCUACCAUGUUGACUUCAUCAUUGGAAUUAUAGAGCAAAUGUUGGAGUUGUACAACAUAAAGUUUCAAAAAUUACAAAAUGCAAUGGCAUUCAUUCUGGCAAACGUUGAGGAUAUUACUGCCAGAACUCUUUCUGUCUAUGAAAGCACUUCAGACAAAAAAUAUACCCUGAUCCACAGACAAUACUAAACUAGAGUACAAGACAAAGGUUUAUACAUGGAUUUGAAAGCACAUGAAGAAAUAAUAUAAUGCAAGUAAUUUUUGAUAGAAAUCAACUCAAUACUCAAAAUCAAAUGAAAAUAUGCAUUUUUUGAUUAUAUUUCAUAAUCUUAUGAUAUUUGAUAUUGAGAUACCAUAGUUUUUAGAAGACAUAUCUUAGAAUAUAUUUUAGAUGUACUAUAUUCAUAGUUGUAUAUUAUUAAUUCACUGGUGUUGUUAGGAAAUCCUACUGGUAAAGGAAGAACAAUCAAUCUUUUUGGUUUUUAACCUAUAAUCAUCUAUCCUUUGCUCAGAUUAGCAUAGACCAGCUAUACACCCUUUUAAUAAGUCCCUUAGCUAUUGUGUUCUCUGCAUGUUAAGAGCGUAUGUCAGCAAGCAUCAAACAUAUCAUGGCCACAGUUGAAAAAUCGAUUUCGCUCAAACUUUUAUAUGUGGUAGCCUAAUGUAUGCUUAUUACCACUAUGUAGUUUAUUAGWRAAAAUAACGUUUUGUUUUCGAGAUAUAGAGCCGAGAG